rnacentral:lncRNA from 1 species
CUGAUUUCGGCACUUUGGGCAAAAUAUGAUGAGCCCAAGGCCCGUGUUGCAACGAAGAAUACGGUUUGCUCGAUUCCCUAUCUUCAACAGGGUAAAAAGCCGGUUUUUGUGAAGAAGAAGCCAAGCCUAUAGUUAAUUCUGUUUGCACAUCUUUAACCCCUGUAUCGUAAAUUGAUAUUGACGUCGAUGUAGUUUGAAUUUCUUCGUGUUUCAUGUGAGAUGUGGAUGCAUCGUCAUCGUAACCAGUGGCAUCACAUGAUUGUUUAAACAUUUUUAUUGAUGAACGGAUUUCUUCGACGCUAUUUUCUACUGAAAUCCCGCAUUCUUCAGGCUUAUCUUCACUUGUGCUCUGGUCAUGUUUAAAACUAUUUGAGCAGCUGACACAAUUUACACCACCAUUUUCAAGUAGUUCGAUGAA